UGAAUUAGGGCAGACGUCAUCAUCACAUCCCAAUCUCUAUAAAAAGUUAAAAACCCAAUCUUAAAUAAGCACAGCAACCAUCUCAGCAAGGGCAGGGUGUUUUUGCUUCUAUGAUCAAGAGUUGCGAUUCUUACGACAAAUUUGAGGUUUUGUUGUAUAAAUUCACAUGUGUGUGUAUAUAGAUAGAUAUAUCAAUAUCGGUAUAUGUUCAUACAUGUUAAGUAUAUUGCAAUUGGAUCGAAAGAAUGAUGAAAAUCUUUGUGUUAACGCAGCAUCAUCAAUUUGGUGCGGUGAGCGGCACAUUCCACACGAGAUUUCUGACUUUCUUCUCUAAACUUCUAAAUCAAAUUACUUUUUAUUUUUUCUCUGGUUUUGCUUGAAUUUUAGGGAGUGGUUGGUGGACAAUUUUGACUGUUUGGUUGAUGAAGAAGCGUAGGAAAAGGUAAUGAAAUCAACAAUUUGAUAGAUGUUCAUUCACAGCUUACGUUUAGGGGAAAGAACAUAAGAACGCGAAAUUUAUUUACAGAGAAUUUAAGAUCUAAGAUUUCACUUUUCCUUUCUCCUGUUUUUUUUUUUUCGGUUCUCCUGUUUUCUCAGCUCCCAAACAGGGGGUAAGAAAUUAGUGUUUUGUCCACCCUGAACAGUCUAGCUAAACUAGGAAUCAAUUUGCUGUGGGUGUUUUCUCUUGAUUAAAAAAAAUAAUAAUAAAAAUAAAAAUAAAAAAUAGGCAUAAAGAAAAAGAAGCUUUGUAGUUAAUCUAUUACUCCUAUUAUUCAUGGCAGAUUUCAUUGAGAAAUAUAUUAGCCUUUGCCUUCAUAGCAAGCCCUAACGGCCAACUCAGUCUGAUUGUGUUUGGUAAUCGAGUGAGAACAGAAAGGAAUGAUUUGUAAUUCCUCUUCUUUUGGGAAUUCUAGGGGUGGCCUUUUAUAAAAAUAGAAAAAUUUAUAACUCUAAAGAUAGUUUUCAAUAAUUCAAAAAAUAUGAAGGCCUUGCUUCUUUUAAGGAAUUCAAAAAAUAUAAAGGUUUGGCUUGUUACAAACAUAACCAAAUUGGAGAAUAAAAAAUUAUUUUUAUAAUUACAAACUAAAUAUACCACUACUUUCUUUGAUAUCUUGAUUCAAUAAGUGAAGAUCAAUGCCUAGACACAAAGUGAGUGUUUUUGUCGAAGAAAAAAAAAAAAAAAAAUCAAUAAGUAAAGCACUAAAGUGUAUAUUUUUGAGUCCCAAUAUCACAAUAUAAGAGAACUGAAUAUUCACCAAUUUUCGGAGUUACUUAACCAUUGAAGCCAUUGAUCUUUACCAUUGAGGUCAUUGAUGUGUUUGUAAUGGUUGUGUUUCUCUUUUAUAUAUAUGUGUGUGUGUGUGUAAUUAUGGUGUGCUUAUAUAUAUAGAGAGAGAGACAAAAAAAACAAAACAGAGAAAAGCAAAAGAGAAAAAAAAAAAAAAAAAAACAAAACAAAACAAAAAAAAAUAAAUAAAUAAAAUAAAAAUAGGUGGAAACAAGUGAUAUUAUAUCAAUUGUGAAGGCUUUAUAGCCAUUACCAUCGGCAGACUCUCAUUUCUCACGGCCAACUCUCUCUCUCACUAGAUUCCUUUUCUUCUUUUCUUUUUUUUUUUUACACCUUCAAAUCUUGAUUUCUCUUUCAUCUUUUGGUAAUUUUGAGUGCCGUUUGCGACAAAACGGAGAGCACGGCGAGCUAUACACAUUUGUACCAAAAAUUUCAGCUUUUGGCCAUUUUAGGGAGUCCGAAAAUUGAGACCCAUUUUGAGAGUUUGAGGUGAAAAUUGGGGGUUUUGGCUUAAAUUGAGGGCUCUGAAAAGAAGUGGCGGAUGAUAAUCCCCCGCAAGCUUGAAGAAGAUUAGGAGUUGUAUUUUGUUAUCUUUUGUACCUAAGCCCAUUUUUUUUGUAUUGUCUCAAACUAUGUAAAAGAGUAUUUAUUUUUGCAAAUCAUGGCCCUGUAGCAUAACUAAGAUACUUGAUUAUUUUUAUUGUACACUGAGACCAUGUAAAUGUUUAAGUUGAAGGGGAUGACGAUGAUGUGCUAA